ACAGGUGUAGCUGGGCCAUUGUUUUAUCAUCUCUGUUUUUGUGGAGGCCCUUGAUCACUAUUAAUAAUAGUUGUAAAAUCUUGAAAUUGUAGAAACUUGAAAUUGUAAACAUGCUACUUGUGUCUGAGGUGGCAUCAUUUACUGUCUUUGUUUAAAGGUGUGCAGAUUGGAUCAGCCACGGUGUCCCCAGUCUCCAACGCAACCAAUUCCACUUCCACAUCAUUCCCAGUGUUCUCAUUUCCAGGAAAUUGUGCUGUAAAGGCACCAAUGUGAAUUGCUUCAGAGGGUCCUUCUGUGACGAGGUUUGUCAGACUCUAAAUGACAGCUGUCCUGACUAUGCAGAUACCUGCACAAAAGACAUUCAGAAGGUGAUUGGUAGUGGAAAGAUAUCCAUUCUUGCUCCACCCAAUUCAACUGAUGCGUCUCUUGAAGUGUCUAUUCAGAAUGUCUGCAGCUGAACACUGAAAUCAGCUUCUUCAGAAUCAUCAAACUUAAGAAGACCGGAAAGACUUCAUUUGUAAAUCUGCUCAAACACAUCAGAAAUAUGUAAUUAGGUUGCAUUUUUCUUUCUCUCUGUUUGAUGAAACUAAACAUAAUUGAAUAUAUUACAACGUAAAGCACUUGUUAUAGAUACUUCUAUAACUUCUGUUUUGACGGGUACUAUGUAGGAAAACAAUAAUAUGUUAAAUGUAUUGGUCGCAUACACAUAUUUAGCAGAUGUUAUUGUGGGUGUAGUGAAAUGCUUGUGUACAGAGAAAUGCUUUGCACGGCUGUCUGUGGAUGAGAUGUGUCUUUAAUGUAAUUUCUCAAAUAAAUUGUCAGA